rnacentral:lncRNA from 1 species
UUUUUGUUGUUGUUAUUGUUGCUAUCUCUUGGUUCUUGGGCCGCUCCUGCGGCAUAUGGAGGUUCCCAGGCUAGGGGUUUCUAUUAAUUCUAUGCUUAAUAAAGAACUUAUAUGCAGUAUACCUUUUAUUGAAUGUGGGUGAAAAUUAAACUCAAAGGGAAAAUUCAAGUGGCAUUAUCUUUUUCUCUCUGCGUACAUUUUAAAAUUCAUUUAACAAGGAUGAAAUGAUUAUCAACUAAAGAGAUGGAAAAAGAGGUGGCAUACAUACUGCUACUGCUUCCUCUUGAGCUCAGAGCACACAUCACUAAUCAAUCAUCUGCAGUCUCUCUUGGUGGUGUCGAGUCAUGAAUUCCCAAUCUUUCUCAAUAUAUUUCCUCAGGCAGACACUGCCACUCAAGCGGACAUAGGAAAUAAGACAUUUGUUAUUCCUAAUCUGUUAUUUACUCAGCUCUGUGCUAAGCAUUGUAGGCUAACAUGAGUAUGAGACAUAUUUCUUUAAAGAGUUUAAUAUAUUUAAGGAAAAACAAAACUAAAUGAAACAGAGAGGAGAAUAGGGCUUCAAAAUUAAAUUUAAAAUGAAUUGUAAUUAGAAGAGAGAAAUAUUUUAAUCAUCUGUCCUAUAUUUAAACAAAUGGCAGCAAUAAUGUUUUGUUUAUUCUGAUCUAGUAGUUCCAAAUUUAACCUGUUCUUUUCUUCAGCUUAUCAAUAAUUCAUGGCAUUGGAACACCUCUUGGAAAAUAUCUCUGUGUCCUUGAACAGAAUUUCUUAGAUGUUUUCAAGACGAUUUUGUUUUCUUUGGGUUAGCUUCAUUUUAGGAUUAACUUGGCUAAAGAUGAGAAGAUAGACAGCCUAAUCAAAAGUUACAAAGUGCUAAUAAAUUUCAAGGGCUUUGAAUGUUUAUGUUCAGAGAUGUCUGUGAAGAGCUAAUGAAAAGCUGAACUUAAAAUCUCCUUAAAUUGGAUUUAUUUGGAAUUUAUGAUAAUUUGGGAAGGGCCUGGGUGGAUGGUUACCAGUAUGUUAAGUGUUUGAAAGGACUUAGAAAAAGUUAAUGCUGCAAAAGAAGUUAUAAGAUAAAUUCCUUAAUUAUGUAAGAGAACAAACUGUUUUCAACAAUUUUAGAAGCAUCUGCUUUACUUUUUAUAGUGUAAUUGCAUGUAAUCAGAGACUUGUCUUUUGAAUACUCUUUUGGUACGGUCAUUAUAAAUCCUUGUCCUCAUUAGUAUGGCCUUUUCUAGGCAUUGUUUCUUGACCUUGUUCAAAUUUUAUUAUAUACUUAGCAAUAAUCACCAUAUUUCAUUAAAAAAUUUAUAAUUCAGGAGUUCCUGCUGUGGCACAGUGGGUUAAAGAUCUGGCAUUUUCUCUGCAGCAGCUUAGAUCACUGCUGAGGCACUGGUUUGAUCACUGGCCUGGCAUGGUGGGUUAAAGAUCUGGUGUUGCCACAGCUAUGGCAUAGGUCACAGCCGCGGCUCGGAUUCAGUCCCUGCUCUGGGAACUUCCACAGGCUGCUGAUGUGGCCAAAAAAGGGAAAACAUUAUUCAUAGAGCAUGCACAUUUUUAUAUUUCUUCGUGUGAGAUACUAUUUUGGUACUGGUGGUCUUCUUUACCGUAUUUUCCUUAAAAAAAAUUAUUUCCUCAUCAUGCUCCAAAAAGAGACAUUGGAUCUUAAAACUCCGAGAAACCAGGUGGCUUAAAAUUAGGUAUCUGGGAUGGUCCUAGCUCCGCUUACUUCAGGAGACAGGUGGUAGAAAAACAUAGGAAAUUUUGAAGUCAAUUCAGACCUAAGGCCAAAUCUCAGGUUGGUCUUACUCUCUAGGUGCAGAAAUGUAGAAACUGCGUUUAUUUCUUCAUUUAUGAAAUGAGAAUGAUUCCUGGCAUCACAGGGAGUUAUUAAGUCAUGAUUUAGUAUAAUCGCUUCUCUAAAGAAUUUAGCAUAGGACCUGAUUAUUAGUUAAUUUUCCUUUGAUUUUAAGGAAAAAAACCCUGAUGCUGGCUAGCUUUAUAUAAAAUCAGUUUAUUGCAGUUUGUCUCUCUGUCUCUGUCUGCAGAGGUGUUCCUUCAUCUUGGGGGGGACAGGGCAGGGUUGGGGUCCUCAACAGUAGGAUUCCAUGAAUAUUUUCUUCAAGAGGCUACAUUAAUAAGACAGCUCGAGCCAUUCUCUGUGUUCUAUGUUUAAAUUUCUGAAUGAAUCAGAAACGCUGUGAUGAAGCUUAGCAACCUGUCUCUUAACAGCCCCUACAGAUGAGUCUGAUUGCCUUGGUCGGAGAACUACUGGUCUAAUGCAACCCCUCUCCUCCAUCCAAGUCCCAUCGCUGCUGCCUCUAUUUAGAGGAGACUAGAACCAGAGAAAAUGUCAUUCCUUGAAGGCCCUUGUGAUUCUGCAUGUAUAAGGCAGUUGUCUUCUUAGACAUUACCACUGGCCUCAUAGUGCCUGGAGGUGCCCUAUGGAGGUUCAGGUUUUCCCUAUAUUCCUUCUAUAUCCCAUGGGGAAGAAGCGACCUUAUUUUCCCCACUCUCUGAGAAACAGACCUGCAAAAAUGUAAUUUCUGCUCCCCACACCCAAUUCCUGAAAGGGCACAUGGAAGAUUUGCCUUGUAAUGCAAUGGAAUCAUUAUUUGUCUCUAGGAAGAAGCACUAAAGACUUUGAUCAAUAGAGUUUAAAAUCUUGGCAAAGAAGCAGUUACUUUGUAAACGAAUCAUGAGGUACAUUCGCAAGAAGCACCAGCUCUAUCUACCCAGAUGGCUUCCUGGAUUUCUUAUAUUCUAGCCAUUAAAGACAUGGCAAUAUGUUUAGGCUAUAUGCCUAGAGUAUAAGUUGCCUCCCUCGAGAUAGCAUGCUAGUAUUGCCAGGUAUUAUUACUAGAGCUACGUCAUAAGGUCAAUGCCAUCUCUCUAAAAUAUUGUCUCCUUCUGGAUGACACUGACAAUGACAAGACUUUGAGAGUCAUAGGGAUGAGCCCACCACCACACUAUGUAAGAAAUCAAUGCAGUGUAUAAGGGAUUCAGUAAAUACGUGUACAAAAAUGAUGACACAGGAAGUGAAAUUAAAUCCAAAAUAAUUGAUCUUGAUAAUUAGGAGAAGUUACUAUAUAGACAAUGGGAGAAGCUCCAUGGAAUUGAUGGAUCACAUGCUCUUUGCUUAUUUCUUGUUUGUAAAAUGAGGAUAAUACCUACUUCAUAGCCUUCCUGUUUUACAAACCAGAUGAGUAUUUAGCAUAAAGUUAAGACAUAUUAAAUAUGAAUUUUUUUCUCUCUUAAUUUCCCUACCACCAUAUUAUCAAACUAGGUCCUAGGAAAAGGCAAUGUAGCAGCAGGGGGAACAAUUGUGAAAUGUUAGUGUUUUGUCACUUGCUCGUGUUUGGACUUUGAAAUAGUUUUCUUUCCUGGUCUCAUAUAUCAAGUCAGAGUUGAAAGAGAUGACCAACUACAAAAUUAUAUCCUAAGGCCCCUAUUCAUCUCAAUAGCAGUUAGGAGCCUAGAAUCCAGUAUAGUGGAAAGUUAGGAUCAGAUAGCUCUGUAUUUAAAUCUUCAGGAUGAAUGACUCUAAAUUCUGAUUGCAAUCUCUGGCUCUUUCAUUUGACCGCUGGAUGAGCCUCCUGGGGGCCUCUGAAUCUCUGAGUGUGUAGAUACUAGGAUAAUGUCCUACCUGAUGAAGUGCUAUUAGGAG